CUUACUUCUCUUGAAACAUGAUGGAUAAUGGGGUGCAAACGUCUACAACAUGUGGACUUCAUAGAUGCUAUGCCUUAAUUACGGUAUCUGAAGAUUCGUGAUUGUCCAUUGUUAGAAGCUCUGUCGGAUGGGCUUGGAUACCUUGGUUCUUUGAAAGAGUUAAGUUUGCAGAACUGUGAAAAACUAGAACAUCUGCCAUCCAGAGAGGCCAUGCGAUGCCUCACCAAAUUACAGUACCUGGAAACUGAAGGCUGCCCAAAGUUGCACCAAUCGGAGUAAGCCCAAACUCUCUGUGGUCCAACAUUUCCCAUAUUCCAAAUAUUGAAGUAGAUGGGAGGAAAAUUCAGAACUUAUGUAUGUAAGUCUCUGUUUCUUCUUCUAAUUUUUAAAUUUUCAUAUCUUGAUAUGAAAUUUAUGGGUUUUUUUUUUAUAGGUUACUAGUUCCAAGGUCAUGCUAGAACGUCGCUGUGGUAUAUUAAGCCUCAUCCCAUGAGCGGCAGGCAAUUAGGGGACAGAUUGUAACAUUUUGCUUCAGUGGUGACUCUGGUUGUGGCAAGCUUGAAAGUUCAAGGACAAAGUCUCCGUUCAUUAAAACUUCCGCGAAUGAAGGACUUGAACAAAGAUAGUUGUCACAAAUCUUAUAGCAAAGAGUGUCUUAAAAUGUGCUAAGCAGUAUCUGUUCAUCUUAACAGAUUCAUGUUUGAAACAGCAGCAUGGACCUCGUCGAAAUGCUACUUGUGUUAGAUGUGAUUCAGUGUCAUCAUUAGCAAGGGAAAUUGCAUCCUGUAAACUCAUUUGCAUGUGGCAGAAAGUGAAUUGGAGAUCCUGGAAAGGGUCCAAAGAGAAACUUAUGCCAGUCACUUUGCUAGAUUUCUCAUACCAUGGUUCAAUGUUGUACAGAGCAACUUGUGUCUUGCCAUUUUUAUUUUAUUAUUUUGA